UGUGUGUGUGUGUGUGUGUGUGUGUGUGUGUGUGUGUUUAUUGAGUCAUGAACGAUGUGUUUGUUUUGCGAUGUGUUUGUUUGUGUGUGUGUGUGUUAAUUU